AGUGAACGCUGGCGGCAGGCCUAACACAUGCAAGUCGAACGGCAGCACAGUAAGAGCUUGCUCUUAUGGGUGGCGAGUGGCGGACGGGUGAGGAAUACAUCGGAAUCUACCUUUUCGUGGGGGAUAACGUAGGGAAACUUACGCUAAUACCGCAUACGACCUUCGGGUGAAAGCAGGGGACCUUCGGGCCUUGCGCGAUUAGCUGAGCCGAUGUCGGGUUAGCUAGUUGGUGAGGUAAAGGCUCACCAAGGCGACGAUCCGUAGCUGGUCUGAGAGGAUGAUCAGCCACACUGGAACUGAGACACGGUCCAGACUCCUACGGGAGGCAGCAUUGGGGAAUAUUGGACAAUGGGCGCAAGCCUGAUCCAGCCAUGCCGCGUGGGUGAAGAAGGCCUUCGGGUUGUAAAGCCCUUUUGUUGGGAAAGAAAAGCAGUCGAUUAAUACUCGAUUGUUCUGACGGUACCCAAAGAAUAAGCACCGGCUAACUUCGUGCCAGCCGCCGCGGUAA
rnacentral:rRNA from 1 species